rnacentral:rRNA from 1 species
CAUAGGAACGUACCAUUCGGUGGGGAAUAACCACGGGAAACUGUGGCUAAUACCGCAUAAUGACGUGAGUCUAAAGAAGGCCUCUGUUUACAAGCUUUCACCGAUUUGAGCGGCCUAUGUCCCAUUAGCUAGUUGGUAGGGUAAUGGCCUACCAAGGCGACGAUGGGUAGCUGGUCUGAGAGGAUGAUCAGCCUCACUGGGACUGAGACACGGCCCAG